AUGAACGCUGGCGGCGUGUCUAAGGCAUGCAAGUCGUGCGAUCGCUAUGUAGCAAUACGUAGCGGGAGCGGCAAACGGGUGCGUAACACAUUGGUAACCUACCCUGCAUUGGGGGACAACCCACCGAAAGGUGAGCUAAUACCCCGUAUAAUCCCCAGGCGCAAGCCGAGGGAUGAGAGCCCAAAAGGCGAUGCAGGAGGGGCCUAUGCCCUAUCAGCUUGUUGGUGAGGUAAAAGCUCACCAAGGCUUUGACGGGUGGGGGGCGUGAGAGCGCGACCCCCCUCACUGGGACUGAGACACUGCCCAGACACCUACGGGUGGCUGCAGUCGAGAAUAUUCCUCAAUGGCCGAAAGGCUGAAGGAGCGACGCCGCGUGCAGGAAGAAGGCCUUCGGGUUGUAAACUGCUUUUUUCAGGGACGAAUUCUGACGGUACCUGGAGAAUAAGAGGUUGCUAACUCUGU
rnacentral:rRNA from 1 species